AUCCUCUCCAUAUCCGCACGAACUUCUGCACGAGUAAUGUGAUCACGAGUGGGAUUCUCCUUCGGGAGAUGAGAGCGGCGCACGGGUGAGUAACGCGUACGUAACCUGCCUUACAGAGGGGAAUAGCCCUGGGAAACUGGGAUUAAUACCCCAUAGUAUAUAGAUGGCGCAUGCUGUUUAUAUUAAAGUUGAGGCGCUGUAAGAUGGGCGUGCGUGCUAUUAGCUAGUUGGUGAGGUAACGGCUCACCAAGGCUACGAUAGCUAGGGGGCGUGAGAGCGUGGCCCCCCACACGGGUACUGAGACACGGACCCGACUCCUACGGGAGGCAGCAGUAAGGAAUAUUGGACAAUGGUCGAAAGACUGAUCCAGCCAUCCCGCGUGCAGGAUGACUGCCCUAUGGGUUGUAAACUGCUUUUAUAUGGGAAGAAUAGCAUGGAUUUAUCUGUGUAUGACGGUACCAUAUGAAUAAGCACCGGCUAACUCCGUGCCAGCAGCCGCGGUAAUACGGAGGGUGCAAGCGUUAUCCGGAAUCACUGGGUUUAAAGGGUGCGUAGGUGGCCCGAUAAGUCAGAGGUGAAAGCCCGUCGCUUAACGAUGGAAUUGCCUUUGAUACUGUUGGGCUUGAAAUAGGUUGAGGUAGGCGGAAUGUGACAUGUAGCGGUGAAAUGCAUAGAUAUGUCAUAGAACACCGAUUGCGAAGGCAGCUUACUGGACCUUAUUUGACGCUGAGGCACGAAAGCGUGGGGAUCAAACAGGAUUAGAUACCCUGGUAGUCCACGCCCUAAACGAUGCUUACUCGAUAUCUGGGCUUCGGUCUGGGUGUCCAAGGGAAACCGAUAAGUAAGCCACCUGGGGAGUACGCGCGCAAGCGUGAAACUCAAACAGGAAUUGCCGGUAUUCUGGAAGCGAAUGGACACAAGCAUUUACUUUCUAAUUCCCCAGGAAUUGUCAUCUGUGCGUACACAAGGCGAGCUGUCGCAAAUAUUCGCAGAAACAUGCCUGCCGAUCUCCAAAAUAACUGUAUCACAAUUCACAAACUCCUAGAGUACCAACCAGUCUAUUACGAAGUAACUGAUGAAGCGACAGGUGAGUCUAAAACUACAAUGAAAUUUGAAGCAACUCGUAAUGCUUCUAAUCC
rnacentral:rRNA from 1 species